CUGGCUGAGAGCACAGUUUGUGUAAAGGCGGAGAGGGACAGGAGAGCCUGGUGUUCUCAAGAGGUGGUCGAUUGUGUCCCAUGGGAACUGGAUUUGGGGAAGAGGAGUCUGUUGAAUUGAUUCCCUACUCCAUGAGGAUACAGCGAAGAAAGGCAGGAAACCCAGUCUUGCACACAAAGUGUUUUCUUGUAGGUUUCGAUAUUGAACACAUGCAGGCUGGCUCCAGGCAUCUGCCCAACAGAGAUCUCCCCGGAUGUGGGCCUAGAAGACAAUGAUAGAACACUCCAAAGGUCAAGUGUGGCUA